UACCCCUUUUCAUUUUUAUGC
rnacentral:miRNA from 1 species